ACUCAAAUGAAUAGACGGGGGCCCGCACAAGCGGUGGAACAUGUGGUUUAAUUCGACGCAACGCGAAGAACCUUACCUACCCUUGACAUGCUCGGAAUCUGCUAGAGAUGGUGGAGUGCCUUCGGGAGCCGAGACACAGGUGCUGCAUGGCUGUCGUCAGCUCGUGUCGUGAGAUGUUGGGUUAAGUCCCGUAACGAGCGCAACCCUUGUCCUUAGUUGCCAACAGGUUAUGCUGGGAACUCUAGGGAGACUGCCGGUGACAAGCCGGAGGAAGGUGGGGAUGACGUCAAGUCCUCAUGGCCCUUACGGGUAGGGCUACACACGUGUUACAAUGGGCAGUACAGAGAGAAGCGAAGCCGCGAGGUGUAGCAAAUCUUUUAAAAGCUGUUCGUAGUCCGGAUUGGAGUCUGCAACUCGACUCCAUGAAGUUGGAAUCGCUAGUAAUCGCGGAUCAGAACGCCGCGGUGAAUACGUUCCCGGGCCUUGUACACACCGCCCGU
rnacentral:rRNA from 1 species